AAUUUUUUUCAAUAUUUUGUAUUAUUUAUUCAUUUUAUUGAUCGCAGCACGAGUAAACAUUAUUGUAAAAACUGUACUGGAUAUAAAAACAACUCGAUGUGCAUUGACGUUCUAGUGGUAUUAGCAGUUCAGAUAUCAUAACGACAAAGCCAGCGGAGAAUGUUUAGUAAGGACUGUAGGCAUAUUUACUAGGGAAAGCGUGAUGAGUAUAGCCCGAAGAGACUGGAGCGGCGAUGACAUGAUGAUAGCCAGCAUUGGGAUGGCGAUGACCGAUGCCAAUUGGAGCUCCGAUCUGUUGCCCGAUGGAGGCUCCGUGAACAGGAAGAUGUUGUAGUUGCUGGUAAGCGCCACCAUGCUGAUAACCGGAAGAGAUUGAGCCGGAUGAGAUUGGGCCAAUUGAAUCGAUGCCAACUGAUGAUAUUGGUCUGCCAGCAAGUCCAUUGUAGCUGUUAUGGCCACCAUACACAGAUCCAUAAACAGCUGGAAGACCAGGUCUGUAAACCGCUGAGCCAGCUCCAACUUGCGACAAGUAAGCCGUUGUUGGAGGAUAAGCUAAAACUCCAUAUGCCAGACAGCUCAGCAGGACAAUAUAAAUUCUUAAUUAUUGCUGGACAACUGAUGCUCCCUUUGAGUUACUUCGACGCUUUUAUAGCUCCGACUUAAAAAAUUAAUCCAGUCAUUGAUGCUAUUGUUCUCGCACGUUAGGUUUGAACUUUGAAGCCGGGUUGAACAAUCAAAAAUCUACAUACUACAUACACAUACAUGUAUGUAAUG